rnacentral:tRNA from 1 species
GGCGGUUGUACCCAAGGGGAUAAAGGCGGG